UUACUAUGUUACGACUUAUUCUAUAUUAUUAGAAGUGACGGGCGAUUUGUAUAUAUAUAAAAAUUAAAUUCAAUUUAAUUAAUUUAUUAAAUUACUAUUAAAUCCUAAUUUAUAAAAAAUUUAAAUUUUUUUAUUAUUAUAAUGUAAUUCAUCUAAACUCUAUUAAAUUGCAUAUUGAUCUGAUAAAUUAUUAAAUUAAAAUAAAAUAUUUAAAUAAAAAUAUUAUUAUUUAA
rnacentral:rRNA from 1 species